rnacentral:rRNA from 1 species
GACGGAGGAUGCAAGUGUUAUCCGGAAUCACUGGGCGUAAAGCGUCUGUAGGUGGUUUAAUAAGUCAACUGUUAAAUCUUGAGGCUCAACCUCAAAAUCGCAGUCGAAACUAUUAGGCUAGAGUAUAGUAGGGGUAAAGGGAAUUUCCAGUGGAGCGGUGAAAUGCGUAGAUAUUGGAAAGACCACCAAUGGCGAAGGCACUCUACUGGGCCAUUACUGACACUGAGAGACGAAAGCUAGGGGAGCGAAUGGG